CUGGUGAAAGAACACCUGAAGGUAAGAGAAUUAAUGUUUGAAAACCCUAGAGAUAUUGACAUAAUGGCAUUGCAGCUCUGUAAUCAAGAUGAUAAGCUGAUAAUUUUAAAUGCCUGCAGCCCACCAGCAAGCAACACAUGGACAAAGGAAGAACUGGAUGACAAACGUGAGGGUCUCAUAAUGGUCAUGAGAGAGAUUAUGGUAAGAGCUAACAAAGAUAAAUCCCGAUUGUUGGUACUGAAGGGACUUUAACUUUAAGGCAACAGACUGGGAGGCCUACGAGGCAAGAACAGAGGACAUUUGGACAGGCAGAUUUGUAAACCUCAUCUUGGAGACAUUCAUGUAUCAACACGUCAAGCAGGCCACAAGAAUGAGGGAAGAGG